rnacentral:rRNA from 1 species
UACGAAGGGGGCUAGCGUUGCUCGGAAUUACUGGGCGUAAAGGGAGCGUAGGCGGAUAUUUAAGUCGGGGGUGAAAGCCCAGGGCUCAACCCUGGAAUUGCCUUCGAUACUGGAUAUCUAGAGUAUGGGAGAGGUGUGUGGAACUCCGAGUGUAGAGGUGAAUUCGUAGAAUAUUCGGAAGAACACCAGUGGCGAAGGCGACUGACUGGACAUGUAUUGAC